GGCCACAUGUGGAAAAAGUGGUGCGAGCUGGAGAUAAUGUUACCCUGCACUGUGACUGCAAAUUGGAUAAUAUGGACAUCCAGUGGGUGAAGAGCUGCACUCCCCUGUUCCAGUCUAUGACCAUUUCAACACACAAGUCCCUUAUAGAUCCAGUGCCUCGAUUCUCUGUGGUGUGGAAUCCUGUAAAUAAAUCCACUGAUCUGAUCAUUGAGAACAUUACUGAAUCUGAUCUGGGGAUUUAUUACUGUGCUGCAGUGGAUUAUGAUAUCCGUUGUGGCCCAGAUGGAAAGAUGGCUCCGCAUAACUUGUAUCGAUUUUGUAACACCUCCACAAGGCUCUCCUAUGAAGUCAAUGUAGUUGCUGAAAAAUGUGACUGCAGUCAGUGGUGCUGGCUACUACUGAAGACUGUGUGUCCUGCCUGUGCUGUACUCUCAGCUCUGCUGUCCUCUGUGUGUGUGUUCUGCUGCUGCCGCAAGCCAGAGUCCACCAGCAAUCAAAGAAGACCCAGCAUCACUGGAGAACAGAGUGAAGCCACUCAGGUGUACUACGCCUCACUGAAGAUCCCCAAAGGCACCAGCAGACGCGUGAACAGGAAAGCCUCACUGAACCCUGACUUCAGCACGUACAGCGAGGUCAUUAAGGGACAGGGUUAGGGCUUCAUAUAUAAUGAGUACAGUAAAUGUCCAAUAAACUUAAAGGAAAAAAUAUAUAUACA
rnacentral:lncRNA from 1 species